UACGUAGGGUGCGAGCGUUAAUCGGAAUUACUGGGCGUAAAGCGUGCGCAGGCGGUUUUGCAAGACAGGCGUGAAAUCCCCGGGCUUAACCUGGGAACUGCGUUUGAAACUACAAGGCUAGAGUGUGGCAGAGGGGGGUGGAAUUCCACGUGUAGCAGUGAAAUGCGUAGAGAUGUGGAGGAACACCGAUGGCGAAGGCAGCCCCCUGGGUUAACACUGACGCUCAGGCACGAAAGCGUGGGGAGCAAACAGG
rnacentral:rRNA from 1 species